UACGUAUGGAGCAAGCGUUAUCCGGAUUUACUGGGCGUAAAGGGAGCGUAGGCGGCCUGCCAAGUCUGAUGUGAAAUACCGGGGCUCAACCCCGGGGCUACAUUGGAAACUGGCAGGCUGGAGUGCCGGAGAGGCAGGCGGAAUUCCUAGUGUAGCGGUGAAAUGCGUAGAUAUUAGGAGGAACACCAGUGGCGAAGGCGGCCUGCUGGACGGUGACUGACGCUGAGGCUCGAAAGCGUGGGGAGCAAACAGG
rnacentral:rRNA from 1 species